GGCCUGAUAGCACAAUGGUUAGUGCAUCUGCUCUGAUUAUGGGUUUUACCGAGGCAUUUAGGCAGAAGGUCCCUCGUUCGAUUCGGGGUCAGGUCA